rnacentral:rRNA from 1 species
GAUGAACGCUGGCGGCGUGCCUAAUACAUGCAAGUCGAGCGAACGGACGAGAAGCUUGCUUCUCUGAUGUUAGCGGCGGACGGGUGAGUAACACGUGGAUAACCUACCUAUAAGACUGGGAUAACUUCGGGAAACCGGAGCUAAUACCGGAUAAUAUUUUGAACCGCAUGGUUCAAAAGUGAAAGACGGUCUUGCUGUCACUUAUAGAUGGAUCCGCGCUGCAUUAGCUAGUUGGUAAGGUAACGGCUUACCAAGGCAACGAUGCAUAGCCGACCUGAGAGGGUGAUCGGCCACCCUGGAACUGAGACACGGUCCAGACUCCUACGGGAGGCAUCAGUAGGGAAUCUUCCGCAAUGGGCGAAAGCCGGACGGAGCAACGCCGCGUGAGUGAUGAAGGUCUUCGGAUCGUAAAACUCUGUUAUUAGGGAAGAACAUAUGUGUAAGUAACUGUGCACAUCUUGACGGUACCUAAUCAGAAAGCCACGGCUAACUACGUG